rnacentral:rRNA from 1 species
UACCGUAUAGGGAUGAGCCUGCGUACCAUUAGACUAGUAGGUGGGGUAACGGCCCACCUAGGCAACGAUGGUUAGCGGGUCUGAGAGGAUGAUCCGCCACACUGGAACUGAAACACGGACCAG